AAUCGUUUUUUCUUUCUCUCGCAUCUCGCCCAGCCCGCUGCCCGCAUGCCGCCGCUGCUCCCUGCCCCACGCGCCGCCGCCGCCGCCCACCAGCCUCUCCUCUCGGUCCCUUCCUCUCCGUCACCAUCCCUCCCGCGCCCCGUCCCUCCAUGUGCCGGUCCACGCCGCCGCCGCGCCAUCCCUUCCCACCUCGAUCCCCGGCCUCCGGGCCCUCGUCCCCGCCGUUCUAACGGCGCCAGUCGCCGUGGUGCUCGCCAUCGCACCACAGCGCCUCCCCUGCCACCUCCCACGUGCCCCCGACCCCCGUUUCUGCCCGGGGCUCCGCGCCAGCGACCCCGCCAACCAACUCGUUGACGCCGCCCCUGUCAUCCAGCGCGUGGUCCGCCGGGAUCCCACAGCCAACUCGCCCACCGUGAGAUGUCGUCGAAAGCCGCCGCUUCUCCGUCACCGCCGCCAGCACUGAAGCUCCUCCGCCCAGAACGCAAAGGUUUGGCAUAAGCAAUAGCAGGAUCUCUCAAGAAUCUGGUAUGAACAAGCUUCACGUUAAGUAAAGAGGAUCCGUCUCCCCAUCGAUCAUGGCUGCUGCCUGCCUACAAUGCCAAGCUGUCCGUGAUGGCGCCAAAAUUAUGAGAUCCGGACCACGCCGCUCAAAACAUUGCCGCCUCCGUGUUUUUAGUUUUCACUCCGAAGUCCGAAGGCUAAGUAGUGUUUGUUCUGAGCGAGGUGGAAUGAAACGGAACGGUUCUAUUCUUAUAGGAAUGGAAUGUAAUGGAACGGUUCUACUUUUCUAUAUCCUAAGAACCAAACACUUAGAUCAUUGGUUCUACUUAGAACCAACUCAUUCCUACAUUUUUGAGGAAUGAGAUGGUUAGGCAUAUUGAGGGAAUAUUCCUUUUUGAGGAACCAUAUGGUUCCAUUUCACUUCUCUGUGUUCUAAGAACCAAACACAUGAAUCAUCUCAACUUUUGAAACCAUUC